UACGUAGGUGGCAAGCGUUGUCCGGAUUUAUUGGGUUUAAAGGGUGCGUAGGCGGUGACCUAAGUCAGUUGUGAAAUACUUCAGCUUAACUGGAGAGGUGCAAUUGAUACUGGGUUACUUGAGUACUGAUGAGGUAUGCGGAAUGGACGGUGUAGCGGUGAAAUGCUUAGAUAUCGUCCAGAACACCGAUAGCGAAGGCAGCAUACUAAGGAGUAACUGACGCUGAGGCACGAAAGCGUGGGGAGCAAAC
rnacentral:rRNA from 1 species